rnacentral:rRNA from 1 species
GACGGGUGAGUAAUGUCUGGGAAACGUGCCUGAUGGAGGGGGAUAACUACUGGAAACGGUAGCUAAUACCGCAUAAUGUCGCAAGACCAAAGAGGGGGACCUUCGGGCCUCUUGCCAUCGGAUGUGCCCAGAUGGGAUUAGCUUGUUGGUGGGGUAACGGCUCACCAAGGCGACGAUCCCUAGCUGGUCUGAGAGGAUGACCAGCCACACUGGAACUGAGACACGGUCCAGACUCCUACGGGAGGCAGCAUG